UGUUUGAGUUUGAAAAACAGAAGCAGAAUGAGAGAGAGAGGCAACAGCUUCUGGAGCUUGAAACGCAGAGACUUAGAGAGAAAAUGGAGAGAGAGGAGCAGGAGAAGAUGAGACAGCAAGCCAUACAACAGGAGGAAGACAGACAGAGAGAGUUGGAAAGGGAAAGAGUGCAAGAGUUGGAGAGAGAGAGGCAACGCGAUCUGGAAAGACAAAAACAGAGAGAGUUGGAGAGAGAGAGGCAACGCGAUCUGGAAAGACAAAAACAGAGAGAGUUGGAGAGAGAGAGGCAACGCGAUCUGGAAAGACAAAAACAGAGUGAGUUGGAGAGGCAGAGACAGAAACAGUUGGACUUUGAGAGACAGGAAUUGGAAAACCAGAGGGAUAGAAAAAGGGAGUUAGAGACAGAGAGACAGAGGGUAGAAGAACAGGAGAGAAUAAAGGAGAUGGAGAGAAGACAACUGUUUGAGUUUGAAAGACAGAAGCAGAAUGAAAGAGAGAGACAACUGCUUCAUGAGCUUGGAAAGCAGAGACUAAGGGAAAAGAUGGAGAGAGAUGAGCAGGAGAAGAUGAGACAGGUAACCAUACAAGAGGAGGCAGAGAGACAGAGAAUCAUGGAGGGGCAGAGGAGAGAGAACCAGGAGAGGGGGGUGCUGGACUCUUUACCUCUCAGACCUAAAAUGUUGGAUCUAGACUCUGGGUGCUGGUCUUUGGGUGACCUGCACUCCAGAGGCAGUCCCCACUCCCCUAGUGUCCGAUGGAAGCAGCCCUCUCCCUGGGCAGAUGACCACUACAGACCUGGUAUCCUGGACAUAGACUCAUUCAGGUCCCAGACCGAGACACAACCCUUGCCCACUAGAGAGGUGUUCCCUGUUACUGGCAUCCAGGGCUCAGACCCAGGUAAUGGGGCGAGAUCCCACCCCCACUCUCCAGAAAGGGUGGGGCGACCCAGUACUGUGUGGGCCCCCUCUCAGCAGGAGCUGUGGGAGCAGAGGCUAAGCAUCGACGAGGAAUCAGUGGAUAGGCCCAUGGCUGGACCAGAGCCACCCAGGAAGCCUGCCAAUAAACCCAGCCUGGAGCAGCUCCUCCACGGGCUGGAGGACAGGGCCACGGCCCCCAUCCUGGUCCCAGAGAGACGCUGGUCUGGUAUGCCCAGUGAACCAUCCUUCCCCAGGAGAGAGACCCACAGCCCUGGGUCCCCCAUGGAGCAGACCUGGUUCCCCCAGGACUCAGAGCCCCAGAGGCACAGGGUAGAGGCCAGAGGACAGAGGAGAUCUCAGGGCUCCCAGGAGCUGAACCGGAUGAGGUCUCGCAGCGUGUCCCGUAGAUCAGCCCCGUCUGACAGUGCUGUGGAGGGGAGCCUGUCCAGGAUGAGGAGCAGGAGUACACAUAGAGAGAGAGGUGGACAGAGCUGGGUGAGUCCUGAUGCUCUAUUUCUAUACACACAGGUGUACACACACACACAAUCACCUCAUUUCUUGACUCAAAGUUGGGCAAGUUUCAGAAAUGAGCUUCUGCUACAGUGAAAUGACACUGCUUCAUCAUGGUAACAAUCGGAGCCCCUCAGUUCUAUGUUUUAUCACUGUUUAUACUUUUGAGCUGAAUCUCACAGAAAACCCUGGUGAUUUGGGAAAAAAAUUGGGUUGUGGGUUGUGUGUACACCUGUGUGUACAGGUUGUGUGUUACAGU
rnacentral:lncRNA from 13 species